rnacentral:rRNA from 1 species
GGGCUAGCGGCAGGCCUAACACAUGCAAGUCGAGGGAGGAGCUUUCGGGCUUCGACCGGCGUACGGGUGCGUAACGCGUAUACAAUCUGCCUUUCACAUAGGGAUAGCCCGAAGAAAUUUGGAUUAAUACCUAAUGGUAUAUAGGGGUGGCAUCACCUUUAUAUUAAAGCUGAGGCGGUGAAAGAUGAGUAUGCGUUCUAUUAGCUAGUUGGAGAGGUAACGGCUCCCCAAGGCGACGAUAGAUAGGGGUUCUGAGAGGGAUAUCCCCCACACUGGUACUGAGAUACGGACCAGACUCCUACGGGAGGCAGCAGUGAGGAAUAUUGGACAAUGGUCGGAAGACUGAUCCAGCCAUGCCGCGUGCAGGAAGACGGCCUUAUGGGUUGUAAACUGCUUUUGCAGGGGAAGAAUAAGGAGUACGUGUACUUUGAUGACGGUACUCUGCGAAUAAGCAUCGGCUAACUCCGUGCCAGCAGCCGCGGUAAUACGGAGGAUGCGAGCGUUAUCCGG